rnacentral:rRNA from 1 species
UACGAAGGGGGCUAGCGUUGUUCGGAUUUACUGGGCGUAAAGCGCACGUAGGCGGAUUGUUAAGUCGGGGGUGAAAUCCUGGAGCUCAACUCCAGAAUUGCCUUCGAUACUGGCUUUCUAGAGGCUGGAAGAGGUUAGUGGAAUUCCCAGUGUAGAGGUGAAAUUCGUAGAUAUUGGGAAGAACACCAGUGGCGAAGGCGGCUAACUGGCCAGAUCUGACGCUGAGGUGCGAAAGCGUGGGGAGCAAACAGG